UACGGAGGGAGCUAGCGUUGUUCGGAAUUACUGGGCGUAAAGCGCACGUAGGCGGCUUUCUAAGUCAGGGGUGAAAUCCCGGGGCUCAACCCCGGAACUGCCCUUGAAACUGGAUGGCUAGAAUCCUGGAGAGGCGAGUGGAAUUCCGAGUGUAGAGGUGAAAUUCGUAGAUAUUCGGAAGAACACCAGUGGCGAAGGCGGCUCACUGGACCGGUAUUGACGCUGAGGUGCGAAAGCGUGGGGAGCAAACAGG
rnacentral:rRNA from 1 species